UACAGAGGGGGCAAGCGUUUAUUCGGAAUUAUUGGGCGUAAAGGGCGCGUAGGCGGCCUGGCAAGUGGAAGGUGAAAUCCCUCGGCUUAACCGAGGAACUGCCCUCCAAACUGCUUGGCUUGAGUCCGGGAGAGGUGAGUGGAAUUCCCAGUGUAGCGGUGAAAUGCGUAGAUAUUGGGAGGAACACCAGUGGCGAAGGCGGCUCACUGGACCGGAACUGACGCUGAGGCGCGAAAGCGUGGGGAGCAAACGGG
rnacentral:rRNA from 1 species